UUACGUGAAUCAUGCAGAUCUGUAAAAAAAAAUGGGAGGGGGGACCUCACAGCCAUCACCGCAAUCUUCAUCUUUCUUUAACCGGCAGCGUCGCUGAGCAGAGGGUGUGUGUGUGUGUGUGCGUGCGUGUGUGCGUGUGUGUGCGUGUGCGUGUGUGUUCAUCUGAGCCAAUUGGUCUGUCACUGCUCCGUCAAUGUCGGAAUAUUUGCGAUGAUCACGUAUUUGCGUACAGCUUGUUCACCUGCUCAAUUUCUCUGCUGAGUAGUAAUUUACCUCAGUCGCUCUCGCUCGACUACAGUGACAAGAACAUCGCUGGAUCGGAUGAUCUGAGCGUUUUAGACGGCUUGGAUCCGCGGGGAUCGCUCUGUCAAUUCAUAUUUGCAGUCACGUCACAACCAUGCUUCCAACCUAAGUGUUGAGACAUAUGAGUCCUAUCAAGUGGUCAAAUACAACCUGAAGGCCAUGCAGGUGUCGGCCAUUCAGCACUACUCCCGGAAGACAAAGGAGAGUCCUGUUAAUGUAAAGCUGUGCAGAAAUGUAAAACUAUCAAGCCAAAGGUACAGAGCUCUGCUCAGAAAUAAAGAAGAACUGAACAAAAGGCCUUAUCACUCUGCGAAGCCAACGGCCAGCAAGA